UAGCAACGGCCGGUAGGCAAAUAAGCUAGGCAACAUGAAGAGUGGUGUUAUACCCACCCCUCAACUCUCUUUUCACACCCACUUUUUAAUAAUAAAUUUAAUGUCAUAUUUGACCAUUUGUGAAAUGACUUUUAAAACCCUAAUAAAAAUGAACCCUAAUUUGUUUUUUUAGCUAAAAAAAAUAAAAAUAAAAGUGAAAGAACAAUGUUUUAUUUCUGAAGAAGAAUAUGAGAAGCCAUGAACAAUCCUAUCGGAGAAGAAUAUGAGAAGCCAUGAACAAUCCCAUCCGAGAAGAAUAUUACAAGCUCGAGCCAUGCAUCCAAUCAAUGUUAAAAUUGGAAGCAAACAAAACUGAAAAUUAGAUGAAAAGGGAAUAUCCCAGCAACCCCUUCCCCCCACCCCCAAAACCACAAGCCAGAGCCACUCCCAAACCAAAUUGACUUCUUACUGCAGCCAUCCUCUUUUUUCUGCAACCCUAAUCAUUUUUCUUUCUCCAUCUCAAUCAAACUCAAUUCAACUGAAAUCGUCAUUGUCGGUCUGUGAACAAUUACAAUUCCAUCGAGGAUGUUGUUGCUAGUUAAUGUUUUCUCCUCCAAAUUUCCAUAGAGAGAAAAGGUCGGCUGGCAGUGAAAGAGGUUGUCGUCGAGUUGGGUUUGGUGGUGUCAGGCUCGGGUGGGAGGGUGGCUUUCUUAUUCUCAGUUUUUAUUUAUUUUAUUUUUUAGUAAAAAGUUAAAUUAAUGCAAGGACAUUUUAGGAAUAUUAAUGGGUGAGAAAAUAGUGUGUUUAUUUUUUAAUUUCUUUAUACGGGAUGAAAAUAUAAGGUGAGUGAAGAAAUAGGAUUAUGGGGUGGAUCUAUCAGCUCUCAACAUGAAUCAUAUACAAUAAUACAAGUACAUAGUACAACUCAUGUGCUUAAUAUUCUUCACAUGCAUGCAUCUGCCAAAAAGCGUGAUUCAUGUUUCGAUGUUGAUUCUAGCCCUUUAAUUCUAAACAAAUCAGUGUGUUAUAUAUAACAAACUUGUGAGCAAUCAAAUAUACAGACAUGGCACUUCAAAUUUCGUAUGGCCUCCUCUUCAUAUUUUUCAUCUCAAGUUUCUUUGCUACAACCCCCGCAUGCCAAAAAAUUGAUCAACACUCUCUUCGUUCUUCAUUUGAUAUUGGUACUUCUAGUUUAAACUGGUCUUCCAACGAUUGUUGCCGAUGGGAGGGCAUCACUUGCGAUAUGUUUGGUAGGGUAACUCAUUUGUUGUUGCCCUCCAAAGGUAUCAAAGGUUGCAUGUCUCGCUUUCUUGGAAACCUCACACAUCUUUCGCAUCUCAACCUCUCCCACAAUAUGCUUUCCGGUCCUCUUGAGGCUCAAUUUUUUUUGUCCUUGACUCGCCUUCAGAUCCUUGAUUUGAGCGAAAACCAUUUAUCCGGAAAACUACCAUCAUCUCUAUCAUCAAGUAAUAUCCAAAUGGUGGAUUUAUCCAGCAAUCAGUUUAACGGAACAAUUCCAUCUUCAUUCCUCCAGCAUGCCUGGAAUUUGAGCAGUUUUAAUGUCAGCAAUAAUCAUUUUACAGGCCAAAUACCAUCCUCUAUCUGUCUUCUUUCCUUUUCGCUUAAAGUCUUGGAUUUCUCCCACAAUAAUUUCAGUGGCUCAAUUCCUCUAGGACUAGGAAACUGUUCCGAAUUGGAGGUCUUUCGUGCUCGCGAAAACACUCUCUCAGGGUCCCUUCCUGCUGAUAUCUACAAUGCUCAGGCCCUUCAAGAAAUUUCAUUAUCUACUAAUAGCCUUUUCGGACCCAUCGGUGAGAAUGUUGGGAAGUUCUCCAAAUUAAAGCUCAUGCACCUUCAUUACAACAAUCUAGAAGGUCCUCUGCCCCCAUCUUUGAUGAAUUGCACAAACCUUGUUGAAAUAAAUCUGGGAUUCAACCGUUUUAGUGGGAAUAUCUCUGGGCUCGAUUUCUCUAAACUUACUCAUCUUAGUAAGCUAGAUUUUAUAAAUAAUGCACUCACUGGUGUCUUGCCAAUAAGCAUUUACUCAUGCAAGUCCCUCAAAGCACUUCGACUGGGUGCAAAUGAUUUCGAGGGACAAAUCCAACCUGAGAUUCUUCAAUUGAAAAACUUGACCUUCCUCUCGUUUUUUCAUAACAGACUCGCCAAUGUCACGGGGCAAUGAAGAUAUUUAUGCGUUUCAAAAGUCUCAGGGUGCUCCUUCUUUCAGAAAAUUUUCGAGGUGAAGAAAUGCCAGAUGGAGAUAUAACUGUCGAUUUCAGGUUACAAAAUCUGUGUGUUUUCAGUUUAUAUAGCUGCCAUAUGACAGGUCAAAUACCUGCAUGGAUUUCAAAGUUCAGGAAACUGGAAGUCCUAGAUUUGUCGUCUAACAGACUCACUGGCACAAUACCUGGUUGGUUGGGGACUCUUCCGAGUCUUUUCUUUUUGUUGUUGAAUGACAACUUGAUUUCGGGUGAAUUUCCAAGGGAGCUUUGCGGACUACAAGCGUUAGUAUUGCAAAAGCCUGCGAAUCAAACGGGCCAUUGUUCUCUUGAAUUGUCCGUCUACUUCAAACCCGGUAAUAAUUUACAGUACAAAUAUGUUGCCAACAUGCCAAGAGUAAUCUCCCUCAGGAACAACAGUUUAAGUGGCAGCAUACCCUUUGAGAUUGGCCAAUUGCGAUAUCUUCAACAAUUGGAUCUAAGCAUCAACAACUUCUCCGGCAACAUUCCAGACCAAAUAUCCAACCUCACAGAGUUGGAGAGAUUAAAACUCAACAACAACCGUCUGUCAGGUGAAAUCCCAUCAUCACUAUCAAGUCUCCAUUUCUUGUCUACGUUUACUGUUGCGUACAAUAAUCUUGAAGGACGAAUACCAGCCGGCACUCAGCUCCAAGGUUUCGAUGCCUCUGCUUUCGAAGGGAAUCCAAAACUUUGCGGCACCCCACUUCCAAACCAGUGCUUGUCAAGUAAUGGCAAUGAUGCAGAUGAGAAUGAGAACGACCAGGAUUUGGACGACGAUGAGGAUCAAAGUCUAUGUGUUGGGUUACCCGUCGCGCUUGGUUUCGUUGUAGGGUUCUUGGGAUUUUGUUGCCCUUUGCUUCUCAAGAGGACGUGGAGACAUGUAUAUUUCCAAUUCCUGGACAAUGUUCAAUUCAAGCUUUAUCUGAUGUGGAGAAGGCUUAAAAGAAGGAAAUGGUGAAUCUUUCAUGGUCCCUGACAACUUCCAAACCACCUCUCUCUUUAGUGUUCCAGUUAAAGCUCCCUGCCCAGAAGACGAAUAAAUAUUUUUGUGUACGAAUUGAACCAGAAAUUCUCUGGUGCAAAAUAACUAUUAAAGAGUAAGUUAUAAAUCACAUGUUUAACCAUAAAAAUAUUUACUUUUCUUCUAAUUACCACCUCAAUCAGCGCUCUCUCUCUCUCUCUCUUUAAGAAAGAAAGCAAAGCAAAACCAUCCGCACAUCGCACCCUUCUUCCUACCUCUCCCUUGCUACCUCUCAUUUUUUCCAACCCAUAAUCAUCAAUUAGAUCUCGGAAUAUUGGACUCUAUCUUGACACAAGACCCAACGCUCACAGCCCAUUGCUGAACCAACUUACCAUAAAAGUUGGGCGAAGUGUGGAUCGAUUCAUGUUGGAACAAGGCUGUUUUACACAUCCCUUUUGCCCUCCCCUUCUCUUGUAUGUUUUUUUACCUUAAUUUCAGGUGUGGUUAUGGAUGUUGUUGGUCUUGAUGAAUUGAUUGUGCGCAACACUCUCAAAUCUAGUUUUGGUUCGGGUGCUCUUUUCAGUUUGGGGCAAUCUCUUCCUUUCCGGAUGAUGCUGCGGAGGUGGAGGCUUGCUUUUUGCUGCUUGAGAUUAAGGUAUUUUCCUGUUGUUUUUUAUUCUUGCCUACAUGCCUACGUAUGUGUGGGCCCCCCUUUAUGUCUUCGAGUGUAGCUCUCAUUUUGCUUAAGUCUGUCUACUCUACCAUGUCUUACUUUGUUUAUCUAGUGUUUUGUGUUUGUUUGGACUUACCCAUCUAUCACAAAUUGUAAUAUUCCCUUUCAUUAAUAAAAUUUUAUUUUCAACAAA